AAAAAAGACAAAAAACAAAAACAAAAAAAAUCAUUAUUAGGGUUUGCUUCUUCUUCGUCGUAAACUGAUGACCAGGGUUCCAAGGACUCUGCUUUGAAUGUGAAUGGUUUUUUCAACUAUAUCACCACCAUAACCAGCAGUAGCACCAUUAACUCCACCGUCCAACACCAAUUUUUCGUUUUCUCUUUUAUCCCGUUCUCAAUUAUAAACCCUAAAAACAUUGUGAUGAUAAGUUAAUUUGAAUGUAGACGUUCUCUAAUUUAAUAAUCUUUGUUGCUCAAGAAAAGGAUCGAGGAUCGGAAAGCUUAGG